UAUAUACACAUAGAUAGCAAAUAUAUAUAUAUUUGAUGUAAAAGUCAAAGAUUUAAUUUUAUUUUUUUUACAUGUUUUUAGGGAGAAUAACCAUAAAUAUGUUUUAGGUGGGUUUGAACAUACAAUAUAUGAAUUACGGACAGCACAUCUUUUCUAGAAAGCCGUACAUAAAUAUCUAAGCUCAGCUGUUUUCACGCAUCGUUUCUGCAGAUUUUUUAUUUUUAUUUUAUUUUAUCAAACUAAUUAAAUGUCAGCCUCAGUGGCAUUCAGUCAGAUCUGUGUAAUUCGUUUCAAGAGAAACUCUGAGUUAUCGUCAAUGCCACCGAGGCGCUGCCGCUGGCAGAGACGGUAGUGAUUGGAUAUUAAAAUUCAAAACCAGCUGAGAUUUUACUGCAAAACCUGAACUUAGUCUUUGGUUGUUGUUGUUGUUGUUGUUGUUGUUGUUGCUAUCAGGCUGCACAGCUGGAAGUUUAACGACACCAAAAUGAAAAGUGUGUUGUUUCCAUCUACCAGCGCUGUUAUAUAUCGGGCAGUAUGUUGUUAUAUUUACCACUCGCAACAUUUUUCAACUUUCUGUUGUCAUUGAAGAAGCAUACAGCGCAUUUCACACAUUAGAGAAAUACCAAAGCUGAUGAAAAAAAGAGAAAAAGUGCAUUCAUACUGAAUGAAAUAAAAAAAAAUACAAUUUUGUUCGGACAGAACAAAGAUAUGCAUCUGUUUAUUUGGUGUAGGCAAACCUCUGGUUUCAAUUGCAUGUGUUAGGGAUGGUCAAUAUAUUGGCACUAACAUCUUGGUAUCGACUGACAUAACUCAUUUAUUGAUAUAUCAGCAUUUGGUCACAUGACUGAUGGUGAUGCAACGUAGGAUUGUGGGAGUUUAAGUCAGCAAUAUAUAAUAUACAAUAUCGGUAAAUAUUGGUUAUCGACCAUUACAGCAAUAUUAACAUAGAAUAUUGAUAUCGGCCCAAAUGUUCAUAUUGAUGCAUUCCUAGUAUACACAGUACAUAUUUAAUGUGAUUUUAAUAAGCAACUUAUUAAAAUCACAUUUGGGAGCAAUUUAAUUUCAUCUGAUGUCAAAACUGCAUUCAUUUCUUCCACUAAGCUACAAACUGUAUAUGCUAAUCGUGCUCCCUGUGGCCCCCGACUUUUAACAAAGUGCAGUAUGAGCAGUCAAUAAGGGUCUUUGUGCAUCAGCAGGGCUGGUGGUGAGCCCUGCAGCUCAGCGCUGGCAGGUGGGGAGAGUGCAGUGCCUGGCUUGUUUAUGUCAUGUCACAUUCAGCUCAUCUGUCAAUGUAGUGGAUUAUUUCUUGAGAGACCAGAAUUGGCUGCCCGGAAUCAGGACGCCAUCAAUCUUCAGCCGCACAAGCAGAACACGGGGGGGGUGGAGGGCUUUUUGUGAUGCAGAGGCUCAUGGGAACGAGAGAACAGCGCCACGUAGUAAAGCAGGUGACGAAGCAGACAUCCUACUUGUUACUCGAUCUUCUGACUUGACUUUGUGAAUUUGUCACAAGACACGUUGAAACUUUGCAGCUCGUGUUUUUUUUUUUUUUUUUUUUUUUUUUUUCCCCAAAGUUUCCGGAGGCGGAUCGGAUGAUUUCUCAAAUGCCGUUAGAUGGUCUAACAGAAACAACAGAACAGCCGACGCUACCUCCGCUUUGAAAGCCUCGCAGCUGCUUCUAUUAGUCGAUAUCCACUGGAUGUUUGUUUUUGUGUAACUUUAUCUUUCAAACGGCCUGCUGAGGGACAUUUAGAGUUUUAGAAAUAAUGAUUUCCUGGAAGUUGCAAUGUCAGCCCAACAACAAGAUAACCGAACAGAAACCAACACAGUGGCACAGGAAGAGGCUCGGCAUGGCUUCAUUUAAUAUUUCAUCAUUGCUCAGUUUUUAAGGUGAUAAAUGCAUGAUUUUAGCUAAUGGAUGCUGCAUAUAACUAUGAUUAAGCACUUAAAAAUUCACACUAUGCUACGAACUAUUAUUGAAACGUACUCAAAGCAUAACAAAAAAAAAAAAGCUCGAAAGUUGAUGGAUUUUUCAAGGCAUCCUCUUUUUUUUUCUUUUUUUUUAUCUCCGAUGUACUCCGCCCUAUUUAUAGCCUGGCUCUUUGGGCUCGGUGAAACCAGAGAGCUUCUCAAAUUAUAAAAUCAAUUCUAAUUCAAAUAUUUAUCAUAGCAUUUCAAUUCGAGGAGAGAGUUUCUGGUUAGAUCAGGUAGCAGCACUUUAUGACUGAGCAGGACGGAUGUCGGCUUCACUCUCAUGGAAAAUCGUCAGUAAACUGAACAAAGGAGAACGACGGUGGUUUGGUAAGAGUCUCCAGCUUCGAUGGGAUUCAAAGUUCAGUGGCAUAUCCAUAAGAUUUCCAUUAAAACAUCAGUUAUUCAUGUUUUUACAGGUCUUGAUCAGCAAUGGGUGUGGUUAUAGAAAUGUUUGGAGGAGCUGAGUGGAACUUGAUGGUUUUACAUUGGAUUGCCUUCUCCACUUACUGGCUAGCUGGAAUAUCCACGACUGAUCAUUAUCUGAUGAAAGAAGGCGCCUUGUGUAAGCUCUGCCAGAUCACGGUGAUUGCAACACUCUUCAGUGCAGACGCAAGUAUUGAGUGAAGGUGAGUCAAAGCUAGCUUUUUCCACUUUCAAUGAUUUCAGUGUCUAAUGUCGGAAGAAGCACACAGUUGAAAGCAAGCAUUUAAAAAAACAAGAAAACAGCAAUUUGCUGGCAGCUUUUUGGAAAUCUCAGAUUGAAUGUAAAGAUCUACAUCUGGCACAAACACAGAUAGCUGUUUUUAUAGGGCUAAUCUCUAAUAUAAGAUGCUAAAGAUAGUUUAAAACAUCGGCUAUCUGGUCAAUCUGUAUUUUUGUUGAAAUAUUUUGAGCCUAAAAUCAGAAGUUGUCUGCCACAGGACAAUAAUUCAUAUCUGGAUUGCAACAUUUUACCAGUUUGCUAAAAGUCAAGUUGACUUGGAGCCAAAUUCAACAGGACACAGAAAGGUUGGAUGAAUUUACACUGAACUUCCUGUGUUGGAUUUGGAAACAUUGAUUGCUUUCGGAAAGAUCUCAGAGUUAUCCUACAUUUAGAGAUCCUGGAAUCAGCAACCUUUUCAAUUCAUGGAGGCGUUGGUAUCGUCACAUGGACCGAGAACAAUUUGUCCACACCCGCAAGACAUAAAUGACUCUUUGAAUAACUUAAUUUUUUGUAUCAUGAGGAGUAAGCUCAUAAAAACUGUUUAUUAGGCCUGAGCAGCUAAGCGCUGCGAAGGCCUAUUGUAAUCGCGCUUUUUUUUUUUUUUUUUUUUUUUUUUUUAAAUUUUUUUAGAAAAAAAAAAAAAAAGCUUUUACCAAAGAGUUACAUUGAAAUCUUAACAAAAAAAAUUGCAAUAUUUGGGAAAAGAAACAAAAGUGGCAGCACUAACUACACAAAGGAUGAAAAAGUACUCCUUAUGACAUUGGCAUGAAUCUAUUGUGGAAAUUAUGUUCAUAUACAUUACAAAAAAACCCAAAAAGAAACAUAAAACUAUCCUAUUUCUAAAUCACUGACGGCCAAAAUCAUCAAGAGCCUCUGUGGAGGGUAUCAAGAGCCACACACACACACACACACACACACACACACGCACACGCACGCACACACACACACACACACACACACACACGCCGACAUGAACAUCCACAGUACAUGUUUAUGUCAUCACUCAUGUUUCUGCAUAAGUACAGCAAUAAUGAAACACUCAUCAUUAUUUGCUCUUCAUAUAAAACCCUGUUGUUUUAUAGAACAAGAUAUUCAUGACAUUUCAUGAAAAACAAUUACAUUUUUCCCCAAAUCACAUUGACAACCUGUGGCAAGAGACCAAUGUGUGUUUUUGUUUUUACCCCAGUCUGUCCCCGAUACUCGACGGUAAAUGCUGUAACUAGCUUUUGAACAUAUUAUGAAGAGCGGCUGCAGAGAAUGUAAAAUAAAUAAACCUGUCUAAUAUGGAAGAAAGAAAAUCAGGCCACCCCAGUUUACACAAUGCACCUAGCUUCCAUUCUAUCCUCAUUUCCUAGGCACACAACAGCGAGAUGUAUGUGCGAAAGCAGAGUACGAGGCAAUUAAAGUGACAUUUUACCUUUUCAUCAUCUCACUGGGUUAUUUUUUUUAUGUAAAUAUGAAACAUGAAGUCAGUAACUUUGGUAAUAACGCCUGGGGGCCCCCGUGAGCUUUCCAGGAGCCCCAAUAGGGGGUGCUGACUCCCCAGGUUGAGAUGCACAGAGACUGAUGCUAACAGCUACCUGCGCUAACCGUGCGAACAGCAAUACAAGAUGCAAAAGACUUCAGAGUCCAACUCUGUGUUUAUUUUGUAUUUGUUGUGAAGCAGUAAAAUCCUCAGCUGAAGCGAUUCGCCUCUUACACACAUGACAGGACAGGCGGCACCUCGUCAAAUAAUAAUAUAAAUAUUAAAUGACCGCUAAUGGCAGGAAGAGCAGGAAGUCGCUGCUGAACGCUCUUGUUGUAUCCUCUCAUCUGAAAAAGAAAUCAUCCCCAAAAUUCUGCUCGGCGCAUCUCUACUUGAUGCCCAACCGCACCAGGAGAGCUCAUCACGUGAACCCAUUAGGUCAUCAAUAACGGCUCGCGAAUCCUCAGAGGACCCGUGAAAAUGCCACCCCGUAAUGGCCUCAGCGAGAAGAGAGCAUGUGCUGUGGAGGACAAAACAUAAAAAAAAGCUACGUGGAACAUUCUGUCAAGGCUUCUCUCAAAUGCAGGAACUGAAUAAAUAAACUGGAAAAGAGUGAAAAGGAAACGGUGAUUCAGGGAGAAGCUUGUUCAUCAGCAGGUUGUAAGGUGUCAGUUCAGGGAAGAGAACGAAAGGCUGAGAGCAGCGACUGGAAGUGGGUGUGAACAAAAGUGUUCUCAUAAAACUAAAAGCUGGCUGUUGUUAAAACUGCAAAAGCAGCCUCGUCGUUCUGUCAGAGGACUACAAGAAAUGGUUUAGCAUUGGUAAUCUUAUAAAAGAGCAUAAACUCCCAAAACAAGGGAGUCAAACAAAUCAAACAAAAAGAGAGAAAGGUAAAAAUAUUACACAAAGAAUCUCGAGAAGGCACCAAAACACUUCCCACAAACAAGGACAGAAAACAUUGUGAGUGUUGUAGUGAAGCAGAAUAUUUUUUCACUUGUACUUCGAUGUACUGGAUGUGCAGUUGAAACCAGAAGUUUACUUACACUGAAUUUAAAGACACGUCCACCCUUUUUGGCUCUGAAUGAAGUUAAUCGGACAAAACCAUUCUUCUUUGAGGUCCUUCCACAAGCUUCUCUCGAUACACAAAUUUUAGAAAAAUUCUUACUUGCUCUUCCUGACAGACCUGGUGGAACUGAGUCGGCUUUGUCGGCCACUUCGCUCGCAGGCGCCUCUUGAGAUCGGUCCACAGUUCUCUAUCGGGUUGACACCAAAGGGUUAGCGUUUAAUAUUUCCACACAAUGUUCUUUCCUCAUGAUGCCAUCCGUUUUAUUGAGUGCACCGGUUCCUCCGGCAGCAAAACAGCCUCACAACAUGAUGCUGCAGCGUCCAUACUUUAAGCUGGGAUGGUGUUACCAGACUUAAAAACACACCGCUUAUUCCUCUAAAUCUAAUGAUUGUGACUAUGACCGGACAAGUCCACUUUAGUUUCAUUCGACCAGAGUCUAGGUCUACAAAAACGAAAUGGAGAUGACUGAUUAUUUCUGCCAUUAUUGUGCCCUUUCGCAAAUAGAGAUCAUUUUGAUAGUUCUGCCUGACCUGAAACAAAAGUUUGGUUUGAUUUAACUUCAGACUCUAAGAAAGAAAAAAAAAGUGCACGUGUGUAUUAAUUUGGUUAAUUUAAUGUUCUGGUUUCAACUGUGUAUUUCAUUCCAGAGUAUGAUCUCACAAAUCUCCCACAAAUCCAGCUGUCUCACAAGGUGACUAAUCAUUAAAUCCUCACAAGCUUAACCAACUUCACAGCUUUAGUGCUCAAAGGGGGUAUGAUGGAUUUUCCAAGAACACAGUGACAUUUUAUAGCCAAGUAAGUCUGUUACCUUCGUUUUUUGUAAGAAUGCUUUCAACAUCAAACAUGCGAUGUGACGUGGAUGUACCAGCACCUGCCAAAAUGCUCUCAAAAAAACAACCAAUUUUGCAAGGUGGGAAGAAGAUUCUUGCUUCACAUCAGGCCCAAAGUUUCUUUGAUGAAUAGGUAACGGAAAGCUUUAGUGUUGGACAAUCCAUUCCCACACCCAUGUGGCACCGACAAAAAACUUUCCUGUCUGUCAACACUCACAAGGUUCCUUUUGAGUGCGAGUCCAAUUCGCUAUCAGAGAGAACAUUAAAUGUCUCUGCUUGUCUUUUUUUUAAAUAAUAAAAAAGCUACAGGUCCCAGAUAGUGCAGCAAAAUACUCUUUCUGCACUAAAAAUUCAACAGACAAAUGUCUUAGUUUCUUUAUUUUUUUGUAUGUAUGAGUCAUUGCUUUGCAUUAAUGUUCUGCAAUUCAAAAUUCAGCCUGUUUUUUCAAAAGUUUCUCGAGUCUUUCGUCUGUUUUGUUGUAUUUUAUGUUGUAAUAGAUUUAUUUAUUUUUACUCCUAAGAUAUGUGGUUUGACCUCAGUUUUCAGUUUUUCUUCUCUUGUUCAACUGCAUUAAAGCACUCUGAAUAAACAUUCACUGGAUCGCACAGUGCAUCAA